rnacentral:rRNA from 1 species
UACGUAGGGACCAAGCGUUGUUCGGAUUCACUGGGCGUAAAGGGUGCGUAGGUGGCCGGGUAAGUCUGACGUGAAAUCUCCGAGCCUAACUCGGAAACUGCAUCGGAUACUAUCCGGCUUGAGGGUUGGAGGGGGGACUGGAAUACUUGGUGUAGCAGUGAAAUGCGUAGAUAUCAAGUGGAACACCAGUGGCGAAGGCGAGUCCCUGGACAACUCCUGACACUGAGGCACGAAAGCUAGGGGAGCAAACAGG